rnacentral:rRNA from 1 species
GGAUUAGAUACCCUGGUAGUCCACGCUGUAAACGAUGAUUACUCGAUGUUGGCAAUACACAGUCAGCGUCCAAGCGAAAGUGAUAAGUAAUCCACCUGGGGAGUACGAUCGCAAGGUUGAAACUCAAAGGAAUUGACGGGGGCCCGCACAAGCGGUGGAGCAUGUGGUUUAAUUCGAUGAUACGCGAGGAACCUUACCAGGGCUUAAAUGCAGAACGACAGAGGUGGAAACACCUCCUUCUUCGGACGGACUGCAAGGUGCUGCAUGGUUGUCGUCAGCUCGUGCUG